CAACAGAAGCCUGAGCUCUCUCCCUUCCGAUGGCUGACCGGGAAGUCAGGGUCAUAAGAUUCUCACAGCUGCGGCGACCCUGAGGAAAGACUGGAGCAGCUACCCAGAGUAUGACCCAGUAUAGAAGGACAGAGGGACCCAAAGCCACGCCCCGCCGUGCCGCGCCAUAUCCACUGGUAGAGGGCCAGCGCCUUCACUGAUCUCUGGGCUCAUCCCUG
rnacentral:lncRNA from 1 species